CCUACGGGGGACAGCAGUGAGGAAUAUUGGUCAAUGGACGGGAGUCUGAACCAGCGAAGUAGCGUGAAGGAAGAAUGACCUAUGGGUGGUAAGCUUCUUUUGUAUGGGCAUAAAAUGUUCCACGUGUGGGAUUUGGUCUGUCUCAUUUGAUUCCGGCUCCGCUAACUCCGUGCCAGCAGCCGCGGUAAUCCGGAGGAUCCGAGCGUUAUCCGGAUUUAGUGGGUUUAAAGGGAGCGUAGUUGGAUUGUUAAGUCAGUUGUGAAAGUUUGCGGCUCAACCGUAAAAUUGCAGUUGAAACUGGCAGUCUUGAGUACAGUAGAGGUGGGCGGAAUUCGUGGUGUAGCGGUGAAAUGCUUAGAUAUCACGAAGAACUCCGAUUGCGAAGGCAGCUUACUGGACUGCAACUGACAUUGAGGCUCGAAAGUGUGGGUAUCAAACAGGAUUAGAUACUCGAGUAGUC
rnacentral:rRNA from 1 species